rnacentral:lncRNA from 1 species
ACAAUUGAGAUAUCCUUGUCAGCAAUCAAUAUCAAUUAGCCUUGUUUAUUCAUAUGUUGAAAACGUGUUGUUAAAUGACAAUUGGUGUCAAUUAGUUUACUUGUUAGUUAUCUGCUUUUAGAAGAUCAAAACUGUUGAUAUGUAUUAACAGUUAGCUUAAUAAAAUCAUUUCAUUCAAGAUUUGAUAAUUGCUAUCUGUGGUUUAAAUAACUGUUAGUAUACUGUGUGGUGUAUAUUAUCUAUUAGCAUAUUCUUCAAAAAGUUUUCACUCACGUUUUUGAUGAAUGCUAU